GCUUAAGUAGUUUAUAUAAAGAAUAAUAAUUUGUGGUGUUAUAGGUGCAUUUAGUCUUAGGCU
rnacentral:tRNA from 1 species